AGCAGAAACACCACCAAGGACAUUUAGAAAGAAAAUAACACUAACUAGCCAAAAAGUUAAAUACUAAAAAAAACAAACCCAGGAAUUUCUAACAUUUAAAUUAUCUAAGCACCUAUUAUCUGAAGCAAUCCACAGCCGUGAUCUCAGCAGCAAUGUAGAGUUGGAAAUGUAAUUAGAUAUUUGCUGUUAAUCGCUGAAAUUUUCUACUCAUUGUACCUUUACCACAUUAUGUCACAGUCGCUGUGAUUUGGUUUUUUAGCUCAUUUCCUCCUGUAUCAGCAAGGAACACUUCAGAAUUUUCCUCUGCAGCCACGAGAGGAGAGAGAUGACAUGUGUUGUUAUUGCGUCUCACAGAUCAGCCGAGCGCAGGCGUAGCUCCGUGGUAGUGAGUCUGCCAGGACUCGAGGUGUUCCCUGGAGACCUCCUGGUCUCAGACGGUGCCAUGGACUACCUGCCUCACGCAGCCCUCCUGCUAAGCACAGAGUCCAAAAAGCCAAGGUGGCCAUUUGCCAAAAGAGGAGUUGGUAAAGACAAACAGAAGCAAGCAUCUGAUCUGGAAAACUGUCUUUCAACCAUUAAGAUGAUAGACUGC
rnacentral:lncRNA from 1 species